ensembl:lncRNA
GAGAAAUUGAUUGGAGCCUGUCUGGAAAACGGCAGCCACUGGACCUUGUUUUUUUGUGACAUACCCAAGAGGACCAUAGUCUAUAUGAAUUCAUUUGGCGAGUCGGAGGUCAGAAAAAGUGCGGUGUUGAAAAACUGGAGCUCAUUUGCUUCAGCAAGAGGCUGCGCUGGAGAGUGGACCUUGUCACAUGUGAGCCACCCACAUCAACAGGAUGGGAACUCAUGUGGAGUGCAUGUCGUCAUGUUUGCCCAAUCUCUCAUUGACGGUAAAACACAAGUGGAGGAGUACAACACUGAAAUCACAAAGCUCAGGUCCCGACUUUGCCGCUACUUAUUUUCCUCAAUAGAUCGAACUAGGAAGUGCAGUCAGUGCUGGUGUGUGAUUGCAGCCAAAGACUGGGUGCAGUGCCAGAAAUGUGGUGCAUACAAACACAUGCGUUGUUCAAAGUCUGUUUGUGGCAUCUGUAUCUUCUGUGAGAGGCCGUAAAGCCAAACUGCCCGCAAUGAUUCUUGACAGGCCUAAGAAGGCCAAAACUAAAGUAACAGUGUUUAGUGUUCUGAGUGAAGAGGAGGCUGGGGAGCUAGCCCUCGGGUUUGCCGGAAGAUUGGCCUGCGAUGUCACAACAGACAUGGUCUGUAAAGGCAUCGACCAUUCAAGUGCUGAUAUGACAAAACAGACUCUUCUCAAAAUCCAACACAAUCUUAAACAUGAGCUGACUGAUUCCUCAACCUUCAGUUUGCUGACACACACCUUUGGCCCCGCUGCACUGGAUUCUGUCAUUUCAUUCCUGUGUGAAAAACUUGAUCUUGUCUCUUAAAUAAUGAAACCUUUUGUGACUUUUGUUUGUUCUGUAAAUCAGAAUCUUGAAAAUUGUUCAUUGUUGUUCUAAGUUUGUGUUAACUAUUUGGCAAAAAUGAUUGGUUCCUAAUCCAAACAGCAUAAUGACUGUUCUAACACAUAUCUUAAAAAUGCUACAAAGAAAGAAAAUUAUCACAUAUGUUUCAAUAUGAAUGUAAUUGUGUCACACUCGGUUUGUAGUAGCUUUCCUGUUUUAUUUUGAGUUUUGGUAUGUUUACACUGUUAUUUUUAUUUCCCGUGUGUUCGUCUUCCCUUAUUAGUUUUACUGUAUUUAAUUAGUCUGAUUUAAUAACUUAUAAUUAUUUACUUUCCAGUGUGUAUAUAUGCUCCUCGUUUGGAUUA